rnacentral:rRNA from 1 species
AGAGUUUGAUCAUGGCUCAGGACGAACGCUGACGGUGUGCUUUAGGCAUGCAAGUCGAACGAGAAAGCCCUUCGGGGUGAGUAGAGUGGCGAACGGGUGAGUAACACGUGGGCAACCUGCCCCUCGCAGGGGGAUAACCGGAGGAAACUCCGGCUAAUACCCCGUAAGCUUUCAGGGUCGCAUGGCCCUGAAAGGAAAGGUAGCUUCGGCCAUCCGGCGAGGGAUGGGCCCGCGGUGCAUUAGCUAGUUGGUGGGGUAAAGGCCCACCAAGGCGACGAUGCGUAGCUGGUCUGAGAGGAUGAUCAGCCACACUGGGACUGAGACACGGCCCAGACUCCUACGGGAGGCAGCAGCCAGGAAUCUUGGGCAAUGGGCGAAAGCCUGACCCAGCAACACCGUGUGGGCGAUGAAGGCCUUCGGGUCGUAAAGCCCUGUUGAUAGGGACGAAGGGCGAAGGGUUAAUAGCCCCUAGCCUGACGGUACCUUUCGAGGAAGCCCCGGCUAUCUACGUGCCAGCAGCGGCGGUAAUAC